GAUAAACGCUGGCGGCGUGCUUAACACAUGCAAGUCGAACGAAGUUUUUCUUUCGGGGGGAACUUAGUGGCGGACGGGUGAGUAACGCGCAGGUAACCUGCCCUGUACAGGGGGACGACAGCUGGAAACGGCUGCUAAUACCUCCUAAGCCCUUAGCACUGCAUCGUGGAUGGGGAAAGGGAGCAAUCCGGUACAGGAUGGACCCGCCUCUGAUUAGCCAGUUGGCAGGGUAACUGCCUACCAAAGCGACGGACAGGAGCCGAGAGGAGAGGAUGUACGGUCAGAUUGGGACUGAGACACGGCCCAGACUCCUAGGGGAGGGAGGAGUGGGGAAUAUUGCAGAAGGGAGGAAACUCUGAUGAAGCGACGCCGCGGGAGUGAAGAAGUAUUUCGGUAUGUAAAGCUCUAUGAGCAGGAAAGAGAAUGACGGUACCGGACUAAGAAGCACCGGCUAACUACGUG
rnacentral:rRNA from 1 species